rnacentral:sRNA from 1 species
AAGAUGUCACAAGAGGUUACUUGCCGCCGC